UGGUUCAUGUGGCUCCUUCUGGCGGAG
rnacentral:piRNA from 1 species